UACGUAGGUGGCAAGCGUUGUCCGGAAUUAUUGGGCGUAAAGCGCGCGCAGGCGGUCCUUUAAGUCUGAUGUGAAAGCCCACGGCUCAACCGUGGAGGGUCAUUGGAAACUGGGGGACUUGAGUGCAGGAGAGAAGAGUGGAAUUCCACGUGUAGCGGUGAAAUGCGGUAGAGAUGUGGAGGAACACCAGUGGCGAAGGCGACUCUUUGGCCUGUAACUGACGCUGAGGCGCGAAAGCGUGGGGAGCAAACGGAUUAGAUACCG
rnacentral:rRNA from 1 species